rnacentral:rRNA from 1 species
UGUGUAGGCGGGGCUGUAAGUCAGAGGUGAAAUCCUGCGGCUCAACCGUAGAACUGCCUUUGAUACUGCAGCUCUUGAGUCUCGGAGAGGUCAUUAGAAUUCGUGGUGUAGCGGUGAAAUGCGUAGAUAUCACGAGGAAUACCAGAGGCGUAGGCGGAUGACUGGACGAGUACUGACGCUGAGGCACGAAAGCGUGGGGAGCAAACA